GUGGCAGCCGCCGCGGUAAAACCAGCACCUCAAGUGGUCAGGACGAUUAUUGGGCCUAAAGCAUCCGUAGCCGGCUCUGUAAGUUUUCGGUUAAAUCUGUACGCUUAACGUACAGGCUGCCGGGAAUACUGCAAAGCUAGGGAGUGGGAGAGGUAGACGGUACUCGGUAGGAAGUGGUAAAAUGCUUUGAUCUAUCGAUGACCACCUGUGGCGAAGGCGGUCUACCAGAACACGUCCGACGGUGAGGGAUGAAAGCUGGGGGGAGCAAACCGGAUUAGGUACCCGGGUAGUCCCAGCUGUAAACUAUGCAAACUCAGUGAUGCAUUGGCUUGUGGCCAAGGCAGUGCUGCAGGGAAGCCGUUAAGUUUGCCGCCUGGGAAGUACGUACGCAAGUAUGAAACUCAAAUGAAUUGGCGG
rnacentral:rRNA from 1 species